rfam:Toxocara canis scaffold677, whole genome shotgun sequence.
GGAGCAGUAGGUCAGUCGUAGAGCUCCCGCUUCAUACGCGGGAAGACCUGGGUUCCAUUCCCUGCUGCUUCC